rnacentral:rRNA from 1 species
AUUGAACGCUGGCGGCAGACCUAACACAUGCAAGUCGAACGGCAGCGGGGGAUAGCUUGCUAUCCUGCCGGCGAGUGGCGGACGGGUGAGUAAUGCCUGGGGAGCUGCCCAAUCGAGGGGGAUACCAGUUGGAAACGACUGCUAAUACCGCAUACGCCUCGAGGGGGAAAGAUGGGGAUCUUCGGACCUAUCGCGAUUGGAUGCACCCAGGUGGGAUUAGCUAGUUGGUGAGGUAACGGCUCACCAAGGCGACGAUCUCUAGCUGGUCUGAGAGGAUGACCAGCCACACUGGAACUGAGACACGGUCCAGACUCCUACGGGAGGCAGCAGUGGGGAAUAUUGCACAAUGGGGGAAACCCUGAUGCAGCCAUGCCGCGUGUGUGGAGAAGGCCUUCGGGUUGUAAAGCACUUUCAGUCAGGAGGAAAGGUGGCUAGCUAAAACCUAGUUGCUGUGACGUUACUGACAGAUGAAGCACUGGCUAACUCCGUGCCAGCAGCCGCCGUAA